CACGGGAGUUGGGUCCCCCCGCCUCGCUCAGGCCUGAGGACUGACUGACAGACAGAUGCUGCCUGUUCCUUCUAUAUGGAGUACCUACGUAGGUCUCAAGGUUUUGGACUCUGCUUACUAAUGCUGUGAGACUGAUGGUCAUAAGCUGUGCCAAGAAGGAAUGGUAUGGUGACUGAUAAAACCACAGGCUUCUGGAAUGUAUGCCUCUGCGUGAUCGCCUUUUGGCUCCACAUUGCAGAGAUCCUGCUUCUGAAGGUUUCUUUGUGGACUUCAGGAAUCAGAUCUAUUUCUGAACUUCACAGAUUGUGAUGUGAAGAGCAACAUCAGAGGAAGAUACAGGAGUUAUGUGGAGCAGAAGAAAACUUCAAGAUCUUGACUUUGCAGAUAUUGUUCUGUUGGACACCGAUGAUGGUGCCAUGAAAAAGACCACUGUCAAUGUCAAAUGUGAGGCUGCCAAAGUGGGAUUAAGAGUCAGCCAAAAGAAAAUGAAAGUCAUGAUCAUUGAAAGAGGAGUCAGCAAUGAUGGUGUGUAUGUGAUUGAUGGUGAAAAAUACAGCAUGGUGAAUGAGUCUGUAUAUCUUGGAAGCGAAAUCAGUGCAGAUGGCCAACUUCAGAAGGAGGUGGAAGCAAGAAUUGGGAAGGCAAGUGGAGCUUUUUUGAGACUGGCUAAUGUUUGGAAAAAGGAGAUUCAUGUAAGAACCAAGAUAAUGUUAUACAAUGUUAUUGUGAUACCCAUAUUAUUAUAUGCUUCUGAAAUCUGGCAAAUGCUAGAACCCCACAACAGGAAACUUACUGCAUUGCAUCAGAGUUGGUUGUGGAGAAUAUUUGGUGUCCACUAAUGAGAUAAAGUAACUAACACUCAAGAGUUGCAAAGGACUGGCCAACAGACUGUAGGGACAAUGAUUCAGGAAAGAAGGUGGGAGUGCUGUAUGGUUAUUAAAAACCUAUAUUCCUAGAUAGGCCCUUAACUAGAUACCACUUGGUGGGAGAUGGGGAAAGAUGGAGAACAACAGAUGACACAUACAAAAAUAAUUGAAAAAGAUGUUAUCAUGAAAACAGACUACAAUGAAGCUGGAAGUGAAAACAUUGGGUGGCCUUGUAUCUAACAAUAAUAAUGUACCUCAAGGAGCCACUGUUACUGAGAGGGCUGCAAUAACUGGGAAUUUUUCAGAGCUACCAUGUUUUCUGGGCUGAAACUGAUCGAUUCAGAAGAGUGGGUAGCUCAAAAGGGGUUUAAAAAUGCCCCCUGGCUGGGACAGACCACCUAUCUGUUUUGGAGCGAUGUCAGGCCUGCUUAUCCUUCUGGGCACUUAGACAGCUCCAGUCACUGAGGUAUCUGUGGCCAACCAGUAACUUCAUUGUGGGACUCAGAUGGAUUUGCUGAUUGUUCCUUUUUUUUUCUUUUUUUUUUUUUUAAACGGGCGGUGGAAUCAGCUGAGCAGAAAUGUUGGGAUUUUAGUGUUGCAGGAUCUCAGGUCAGUGCCCCUUUUUAUCCAAAUGUCCAAAUAUCCCUGGGGAAGUCUGGGGGAUUAGGGGAUAGCAUGGGGUGAGGGAGUCAGAUGAAAGGUUUAUUGGCUUAUCUCUAGUCAUGGAAGUAAGCCAAACACCCCCUGUUCUCUGUCUGCCUCUGACACAUGGAAAUCCAAUCAUCAAAGUGAUGCGAACAGUGGCCCCACCCCCAACAUCGAGGAAAUCAAUGAGGGUGCUGCAUGCAGCAUGUGGUGCUGCCUUCCCCUGAGCCCCAUCACCCAUAACUGGUCAUGAUUUCCUUUAAAAUCCCAUUACAAAGCACUGCCUUGACAGGGGCUGUCAAGUUGCAGAAAUGCCGCCAAGUCUGAAAGGUGAAAAUCCUUGUUCUGGCAACGUAAAAACCUCCUGCUUCUGUGCUGACCUAAAAUCAGCUCCCCUUUCUCCAUUUCCACCACACUCCACCUUUGCUAUUCCUUAGCCACCUGGAGUGGUGACUCACUGUUGACCAAUCUAAGACAUCUCCUCCUCUACGGAAGCUGAGCACAUUUUCUUCAUAGCAUUCCCACUGCUGUUCUAAGGGAUGAAGAAGAGACACGACUGGGAAUGUAAUCCAAGUCUUCUGAGUACUAUACUCUAGUGCUCUGGGCUGGCCUCAGUAUUCCUACUAGCCCCAGCUGCUUCCAGUGGUGGGGCUCAAACCCUUAUCUCCUGCAUGACAAUGCAGAGCACUAUUCCCUAGGGUUUCAGACUGGCUUCCAGAGCGCGCUCAGUUUCUGCUGCUCCUGGGAAGAUGGGUGGCAAUUUAACCUAGUUCUCCUGCAUGGCAGAGCCCUCAGCUGUACAUGAGCACUAAUAUUAAUGUCCUUAGGAACCCAUUUCAGUAACACCAGGCUACAAAAUUGGGAAGAAACAGGAAUAUUUUAUUGAUGUUUAUUUUAAUGACAUUAAUUCAUUUCAAGGUGAAACAGAUCCUGGAGCUUGUCAUGUCAGGGCACUCUUUGACCUACAGUUGGUCCUAACAUGAAGCAAUGUUUAUGUGAUUUUGUUUGAACUUUCACAGACUGAAGGGAACAUACUUAAUAUACAUUCUUUGCAUCCAUCUAUUUUGCUUUAUCAGUCAAUGUCAUAGCAGUGGAAUGUGGAUAAUCUGCUACGUCUCAACUAUUUACGAUGAGGCUGAACUAAAAUGCUAAUCUCUCUCUUUUUUUUUUUAUGACAGUGACAAAGUGAGGUGCUGCUCUUCUUAUGUCUGAUCAGUGGCUGCUCAUAUAGUCCAAGGUGCAUAUGUGUGUAACAAUCCCCGUCCCCAUGCCACCCCAGGUCAUCAGCAGCGUUUGAAUCCAGGACCUUCAGCCCUAUACUGAGCGAGUUUAAGUUGUGACUCUGUUAGCUGGUAGCAGUAGCAGGCUUUUAUCCUUCAGUAGGACAGCCAAAUUAGUGAGGGACACAGCACACCCUUUGACAGUGUCGCAUGUACAACUGUGUGCCUAAUUUGCAUGCACAAUUACCUUGUUUGUGUAUGUAAAUUAUGUAGUUUGUGUAUGCCAGGAACCAGAAUUAGGUUUGGUAUGUACAAUCAUAAUAACUGCGUGCCCCACAAAUUAGGUACACAAUUGUGCAUGUGAAAUUGAAUCUCUAGGCCUAUAACAUAUAAUAUUUUUGCAGAUGUUUCUGAUGUCUAUAUUAACCAUUGGUACAGUUUUUGUAGCCUACAGUUUUGUCAAAUUUGCUUGGUAAGUU